GAUGAACGCUGGCGGCGUGCCUAAUACGUGCAAGUCGAGCGAACAGACGAGGAGCUUGCUCCUCUGACGUUAGCGGCGGACGGGUGAGUAACACGUGGAUAACCUACCUAUAAGACUGGGAUAACUUCGGGAAGCCGGAGCUAAUACCGGAUAAUAUAUUGAACCGCAUGGUUCAAUAGUGAAAGACGGUUUUGCUGUCACUUAUAGAUGGAUCCGCGCCGCAUUAGCUAGUUGGUAAGGUAACGGCUUACCAAGGCGACGAUGCGUAGCCGACCUGAGAGGGUGAUCGGCCACACUGGAACUGAGACACGGUCCAGACUCCUACGGGAGGCAGCAGUAGGGAAUCUUGCGCAAUGGGCGAAAGCCUGACGGAGCAACGCCGCGUGAGUGAUGAAGGUCUUCGGAUCGUAAAACUCUGUUAUUAGGGAAGAACAAAUGUGUAAGUAACUAUGCACGUCUUGACGGUACCUAAUCAGAAAGCCACGGCUAACUACGUG
rnacentral:rRNA from 1 species